GGAUGGAGGCGCUCUGGGGCUCCAGGAGAAAGGCAGGGACAGGAGGGAACAGGAGGGAACCAGGAGGGAGCUUUUCCAGUCAGGAUGGGGCAGUGGUUACUGGGAAUGGCUCCCACCUUCCCAGGAGUGCUUCAUUUCACACCCUGCUCCGUGAGGAAUCAGUGGGGUGGAGGGAAUCAGCACUGGGAACAGGGAAUCCAGCACUGGGAUCACUGGGAUCACUGAAUUCAGCACUGGGAUGGAGGAAAUCAGCACUGGGAUCACUGAAAUCAGCACUGGGAUCACUGAAUUCAGCACUGGGAUCACUGGGAUGGAGAAAUCAGCACUGUGAUCACCGAAAUAAGCCCUGGGAUCACUGCAAUCAGCACUGGGAUUACUGAAAUCAGCACUGGGAUCACUGAAUUCAGCACUGGGAUCACUGCAAUCAGCACUGGGAUCACUGAAUUCAGCACUGGGAUCACCAAAAUCAGCACUGGGAUCACUGA
rnacentral:lncRNA from 1 species